UGAAUGAGGAGGUUGGUGGCACAGUGCAAGUUUGCAACGUGGCAAAACUUGCAGCUUGGCUCGACAUGGGGAUAACACCACUGGCCCACGUCUUCUGCGGACAGCCCUUUUGCUCCCAAGAAGACCCAGUUGUCCCGGAAGCCCAGCUUGCUCACGUGGCUGCUGCCCAGCUCCACAAAAUGUGCCCAUACUUUGUCAUUCAUCCUGAAAGAGGGUAAGAAGGUGUUAGUGUGGUGCCAGGCUAUUACAUGCAUGUAAAAGGAGUGAGAAGCCAAUCUCAGAUGCGGGUGCAUUACAAGGACUCCAGGCUUGAUGGCCUCAGGGAAAGCUGAGCUUUUACCACCCGAGCUGGCAAUCCUGGUCAAAGUCCACUAGACUUUAUCAUUAAAUACACAACAGAGGAGCAGCCUAAAUAGCCAGCAGCGAGCGGUACCGGUGUGAGCCCUGGCUGGGAACCGCCAAGCAGCAAAGCGACUGUGCUUACCUCCAGAGUACAUGUCAAAUAUGUCAGUUUUCAGGAGCUGCCCGCUUGUUCCUGAAAGGUUAAAAUUCAAAACAGAGCACACUGAGUUUGCACUGGAGUGGCUCUAGGCUUUGCCUGGCCACCAGCUUGG